rnacentral:rRNA from 1 species
UACGAAGGGAGCUAGCGUUGUUCGGAAUCACUGGGCGUAAAGCGCACGUAGGCGGAUGUGUCAGUCAGGGGUGAAAUCCCGGAGCUCAACUUCGGAACUGCCUUUGAUACAGCACGUCUUGAGUCCGAGAGAGGUGGGUGGAAUUCCUAGUGUAGAGGUGGAAUGCGUAGAUAUUAGGAAGAACACCAGUGGCGAAGGCGGGUCACUGGCCCGGUACUGACGCUGAGGUGCGAAAGCGUGGGGAGCAAACAGG